CCCGCCACUAUACCCGUCUGCCUGUGGCUGAGUAUACUCCAGUGGAGGCUCAGAGCAAACCCGGCUUUAGGAAACAGAGCUGUCCACAUGAAUGGACAACUCUGUGCCGAAAAGUCUGGAACACUA
ensembl:snoRNA